AUCGCCUGCUAUUUCACGCGAGAUCCCUGGGGAAAAAAAUGUUUCCCUUAGACAACAGAUCACGGUUCUUCGACUCCUUCCACCCCGUGAUUAGCUCUCUCCCUGGCCUGCCCAGCCUCCAAUUCACAUCCUUCAUCAUCAGCCUAAGCUGCUGCGACUACCUUCCUUUCCCUCCUCCCACCCCAUUCCAUCCCCAAUUCCCCGAGAUGCCGAGCAUCCGCCAGCACCGAAGACGGGAGGAGGGAGUGUGAAAAAGUCCCAAGCAGCUGAGCGGCUUUCAGGAAGAGGAAGAAAAUGCACGGUCUGAAUUAAUAGCUCCAGGCUGACUCCGCAAAGCGGUCCGCAACCACCUGCGUAUCUUUUGGGGGCCGGAGCGACUUUUCAGUGGCAGUCUCUCGGCCUUUCGAUGGGGCUCGCGGGGAGCUUGAAUGAGUUGUCUCCCAGAGGAGCGGAGGCAAAGUCUAAUGUCAGGAUUCAAGUCCACUGUCGCAUCUUCCAGCGUGGCAUGGUUGCGUAGAAUAAAUUGCACAAACCUG